rnacentral:misc_RNA from 1 species
GAAAUGUGAUAAUUAAUGUGAAUUGCAGAAUUCAGUGAAUCAUCGAGUCUUUGAACGCACAUUGCGCCCCCUGGUAUUCCGGGGGGCAUGCCUGUCCGAGCGUCAUUGCUGCCCUCAAGCACGGCUUGUGUGUUGGGCUUCCGUCCCUGGCAACGGGGACGGGCCCAAAAGGCAGUGGCGGCACCAUGUCUGGUCCUCGAGCGUAUGGGUCUUUGUCACCCGCUCCCGUAGGUCCAGCUGGCAGCUAGCCUCGCAACCAAUCUUUUUAACCAGGUUGACCUCGGAUCAGGUAGGGAUACCCGCUGAACUUAAGC